rnacentral:rRNA from 1 species
AGCGAACGCUGGCGGCAGGCCUAACACAUGCAAGUCGAACGGACCCUUCGGGGUUAGUGGCGGACGGGGGAGUAACACGAGGGAACGUGCCUUUAGGUUCGGAAGAGCUCCUGGAAACGGGUGGUAAUGCCGAAUGUGCCCCUCGGGGGAAAUGUUUAUCGCCUUUCGCGCGGCCCGCGUCUGAUUAGCUAGGUGGUAAGGUAACGGCGCACCAAGGCGACGAGCAGUAACUGGUCUGAGAGAAUGACCAGCCACCCUGGGACUGAGACACGGCCCAGACACCUCCGGGAGGCACCAGUGGGUAACCUUGCGCAAUGGGCGAAACCCUGACGCAGCCAUGCCGCGUGAAUGAUGCAGGUCUUAGGAUUGUAACAUUCUUUCACCGGCGACGAUAAUGACGGUACCCGGAGAAGAAGCCCCGGCUAACUUCGUG